CCGCACAAGCGGUGGAGCAUGUGGUUUAAUUCGACGCAACGCGCAGAACCUUACCAGCCCUUGACAUGUCCAGGACCGGUCGCAGAGACGUGACCUUCUCUUCGGAGCCUGGAACACAGGUGCUGCAUGGCUGUCGUCAGCUCGUGUCGUGAGAUGUUGGGUUAAGUCCCGCAACGAGCGCAACCCCCGUCCUUAGUUGCUACCAUUUAGUUGAGCACUCUAAGGAGACUGCCGGUGAUAAGCCGCGAGGAAGGUGGGGAUGACGUCAAGUCCUCAUGGCCCUUACGGGCUGGGCUACACACGUGCUACAAUGGCGGUGACAGUGGGAUGCGAAGACGCAAGUCCUAGCAAAUCUCAAAAAGCCGUCUCAGUUCGGAUUGGGCUCUGCAACUCGAGCCCAUGAAGUUGGAAUCGCUAGUAAUCGUGGAUCAGCACGCCACGGUGAAUACGUUCCCGGGCCUUGUACACACCGCCCGUCACACCAUGGGAGUUGGCUUUACCUGAAGACGGUGCGCUAACCAGCAAUGGAGGCAGCCGGCCACGGUAGGGUCAGCGACUGGGGUGAAGUCGUAACAAGGUAGCCGUAGGGGAACCUGCGGCUGGAU
rnacentral:rRNA from 1 species